AUGGCUCCAGGCGACGACGGGUAGCCGGCCUGAGAGGGCGACCGGCCACACUGGGACUGAGACACGGCCCAGACUCCUACGGGAGGCAGCAGUGGGGAAUAUUGCACAAUGGGCGAAAGCCUGAUGCAGCGACGCCGCGUGAGGGAUGACGGCCUUCGGGUUGUAAACCUCUUUCAGCAGGGAAGAAGCGAGAGUGACGGUACCUGCAGAAGAAGCGCCGGCUAACUACGUGCCAGCAGCCGCGGUAAUACGUAGGGCGCAAGCGUUGUCCGGAAUUAUUGGGCGUAAAGAGCUCGUAGGCGGCUUGUCACGUCGAUUGUGAAAGCUCGGGGCUUAACCCCGAGUCUGCAGUCGAUACGGGCUAGCUAGAGUGUGGUAGGGGAGAUCGGAAUUCCUGGUGUAGCGGUGAAAUGCGCAGAUAUCAGGAGGAACACCGGUGGCGAAGGCGGAUCUCUGGGCCAUUACUGACGCUGAGGAGCGAAAGCGUGGGGAGCGAACAGGAUUAGAUACCCUGGUAGUCCACGCCGUAAACGGUGGGAACUAGGUGUUGGCGACAUUCCACGUCGUCGGUGCCGCAGCUAACGCAUUAAGUUCCCCGUGGGGGGGGAAGACGGGA
rnacentral:rRNA from 1 species